rnacentral:rRNA from 1 species
CGGACGGGUGAGUAACGCGUGAGAAUCUGCCCUCAGAAUGGGAACAACGGUUGGAAACGACCGCUAAUACCCGAUGUGCCGAAAGGUGAAAGAUUUAUCGUCUGAGGAGGAGCUCGCGUCUGAUUAGCUAGUAGGUGUGGUAAGAGCGCACCUAGGCAUCGAUCAGUAGCUGUUCUGAGAGGAAGAUCAGCCACACUGGGACUGAGACACGGCCCAGACUCCUACGGGAGGCAGCAGUGGGGAAUUUUCCGCAAUGGGCGAAAGCCUGACGGAGCCAGACCGCGUGAGGGAAGAAGGCUCUUGGGCUGUCAACCACUUUUCUCAGGGAAGAAGUUCUGACGGUACCUGAGGAAUCAGCCUCGGCUAACUCCGUGCCAGCAGCCGCGGUAAUACGGAGGAGGCAAGCGUUAUCCGGAAUUAUUGGGCGUAAAGCGUCCGCAGGGGGCGCAUCAAGUCUGCUGUUAAAGGCUGGAGCUUAACUCCGGUAGAGCAGUGGAAACUGGUGCGCUAGAGGGCGACAGGGGUAGAGGGAAUUCCCAGUGUAGCGGUGAAAUGCGUAGAGAUUGGGAAGAACACCGGUGGCGAAAGCGCUCUACUGGGUCGCACCUGACCCUCAGGGACGAAAGCUAAGGUAGCGAAUGGGAUUAGAUACCCCAGUAGUC